GGAGCAGGGCAUCACAUGGGGCAGUAAAGGCUGGUGCCCAGGUGCCAGCACUAGCAGUGCCCAUGCCCUGUGAUGUGCCACUCUGACUGAGGAGCAGAGUCUUGCCAAGGUCACUGCUGAUUAACUGAAAGACAGAAUAGAGAAGGAAAGUAAAUGAAACAUUGGACUGAAUGACUCUCUACAGCACCUGAAGCGUUGGCAAGCUGAUUGAGUUCUCAGUAACAGUGUCCAGUUACCUGGUACCUGCCAGCUAACCCAUGCCACAGCUGCAGGUUGUCAUCCCAGCCCCUUCAUGGUGCUGUCCCUCUCCAUAUUCCUGACCUAGACUGACCUUGCCCCAGCCAUUGUCAUCACAAUGAAAAGAAAUAAAAAGAAUAAACCCAGGUGUUGCAAAGGAAUGUCUGUGGUUUGCUUUUGCCCUUAUUCCCUCAAGAUGUUGAAGUAUACAAGGUCCUGUUCAGAGGACCUUGCAUGAAAAUACUCUUGACACAAAGUU